rnacentral:rRNA from 1 species
GACAGAGGGUGCGAACGUUGUUCGGAAUCACUGGGCGUAAAGCGCACGUAGGCGGCUUUUUAAGUCAGGGGUGAAAUCCUGGAGCUCAACUCCAGAACUGCCUUUGAUACUGAGAGCUUGAGUCCGGGAGAGGUGAGUGGAACUGCGAGUGUAGAGGUGAAAUUCGUAGAUAUUCGCAAGAACACCAGUGGCGAAGGCGGCUCACUGGCCCGGUACUGACGCUGAGGUGCGAAAGCGUGGGGAGCAAACAGG